GCUUUGAACACUACAACCCAGCUACUGUUUGCAGUUCUCUCAAAGAGCGUGUCUGCCAGCUGCGGAAUAUUCACAUUCAUUUCAUUUGUGCACUGUAUUAGAUAGUCCAGGUGCUUCUUCUUGGGGCCCAUCACCUCGUGGGUCGUGGCCUUGCAGACCGCUUUGGCCACGGCCGAGCCGGUGACGCUGUGCUGUGCCGCCGUGAUGCGGUCGGUGAUCGACUGCCCCGACAUCGCGGCGAGGCCGGGCGGCGGGAGCGGCUCCCCGAGGAAGGACGGCGGGGAGGAGUCCUCACCGGCUCCGCGCGCCCCCCAGCCGCGGCCAGGGGCAGGGCCAGAAGCGGGGGCGGUCCGCGGUGAGGCCGGCUGUCCCUCGCUGCGGACUGCGUCCCGGAGGAAAGCGGCCGACUCCGCUGUGCCUCCUGCUGCGGACUGCACGAAGGCUUUCCCUUUCACAUUUCCACUCCCAGACAAAAUGGCGGCGGCGGCGGCAUCAGGUGACCGCGCGCCCGCCCCGCCCCGUACCGGCGGGCUCCGGGCUGUGUGGGGCUGCGACCGCGGGGCGUGAGGUGAGCUGGCCCCGGUCGGGCUGUCCCUGCGGGAAGCUGCUGCGGGGUGAGCUGGGGCUGAGUCAGCAGCGAGACGACCUCUGGCAGAGAAGUGCCGCCCAGGGACAGCCCUGUGGUGUCAAAGCGGUUUUUCCACGGCUUCUUGUGGGGCGAGUUCUCUCCACGCGGUGAGGAGCACCAGUUCGCUGUGCUGUGCUCCGUUUGUCGUUUUCCUGAGAGGAAACAUGCGCACCGCAGCUCGUGCCAAGUGUGGCAGUGAUUUCUGCCAUAGUGUCGCCGUGGCAGCCGGACCAAGACUCCAACCACCCAUCCUCUGGUGGCAAUGGCACCUUGCCAGCAGGCUUGGACGCCAGGCCUGCUCAUUAGGCUCUGUCACUCAGCAGCAGCUCCCUCCAUCCUGCUGUCCCUGCUGCCCUCCUACCACCUCAUUACCUUCCAGCUAACCACCUCGUCAGUAGGACAGAAGUUUGAGCAGUGUGAUGCAAGCGAGCAGAGCUGCCCCAUGCCAGUGGCUCAGUCAUCCUGCUGCUAGGAUUGGGCUCGCCCACACAAGGCAUCUCAGCUUCAUUUUCAAAACAUUCCUCGAGAAGCUGUCUUCUCUCCUUGCCCUCAUAAAUGACAGCAGUUCCUGAAGUAAGAGGAGUGAGAGGAAAACUUCUGCAGAAGCUCUCUGACAGGACUUGCUCCUUUGCCUGUGAGCACACACUUUGUGAAAGCGAGUGUGGGUUUCCAGACCAAAAUGAGGAAUUUCUCUUUCACAACAGAGUCCAAUUGUAUCAAUAACAUGAGGGCACAUUACUCCAAACUGAACAUCACAGGGCAACUGCUUGAGGAAAAAAGAAAAAAUCAAUAUAUGAUGAUAAAGGCACCCAACUCCAGCACAGAAAGGAAAUGCUCAUUUCCAGUAUUCUGAGCUGCUCCUCGUGUCCCUCUAAAUCGCUGUUGUGAUAUUGUCAUUACUCUCCUAGCAUUAUGGUUUCCAAAGACAGUAUUUCCCUGAAUGACAAUGAGGAAGUUUUGCUGCUGCUGUACAAACUGUUAAUUGUUUUUCUGUCAUGCCUUGAGGCCUUGGUGAGGACUCCUUCCAUUGCACUUCGCUCCUAAGAAGAAUUCUGAAGAAGCAUUCCUGCUGCCUCAGGUGCUGCAUUCUCGGUGAGUGUCUCUGGACCUGAUUUCAUCUAAAAAACAUGUAGCCAUUUGUCCUUCGCAACAUGCACACGAUAAUGAUACUACUGAAAAGCAUUAUGACAUGGUAGAAGUAUUAACGGCCUUAGGAUCCACAGUGGAUAAAGUUGUGAAUGAAGGAUUUCUAUAACCCUGAGGGCAUAAAUGCAUUAAAACAUGGUCACUGCUGUAAAGAUAUUGAACAUUUCCUGUGCUGGAAAAAGUUAUAAGCCUUCUAUUCCCACUGGCAACGGUCAAUUUAUAGCUGCCUUAUUUUUGCCCUAAGGCUUGUAGUUUCUGGAAAAAAUAAUUUUGAAUUUUCAAAGUCUGAGAAAACAUCAAAACAGUAAGAAAAGAAGAGAUGGAAAGAUUAAAUACUCAUUAUAAAUGUCUCAAUCUCUUAGGGCUUGUCUAAACAGGGAAGUUGUUUCGAAAUAAGUUAGGGUGUGAGCUGAAGCACAACAGCUAUUCUGUGCUACCUCCACCCCCAACAGGGAAUUUCCUGUAUUAUUUUGUUUCAGAAAGCCUGAAUUUCAUGUAAGUACUGGAGUUCAGUGAGUCCCAUUGGCUAUACAGCUGUAUUUCUGUCUGUACUCGGUUUACUAGCCAGGCCCAACUAUGUCUAAUAAAUAACAUUUAGAUCUGGUAGGAAGGGAUGUGAUUUAGAGGGGGAAUAUUGGUGGUAGGUGGAUGGUUGGACUAAAUGAACUCGGAGGUCUUUUCCUGCCUCAAUUAUUCUAUGAGUCUAUGGUUGUCUGAGCUCAAAUUUUACUUGGAACUCACUAGCUUACUCCAAAUUCAGCCCAUCCUGCACUCAGUGUGGGCGAUCGAAGAUCACCACCUUCAUCGUGAACUUCUGCCCACAACAGUCUACUCAUAGAACAUCAAGAAUCCAACAGAUAGGAGAUACUAGCCAGUUUUUUCCUGGUUUAAUAGGCAAUCUGUGUUAUUCAUAUCCACUGUCAAUACAGGGUUAUUCACAUUUUCCAGAAGGAGCAAAAUUUACACAGGUAAGGUGUCUUUUGAGACCACUGAUAUCUUACAUGUUAGUGAAUUUUGACGAUGUUAACAGAAGGGUAAAAAUCAUAUGUAUUGUUAUUCUUGCGAGUUUCAUGGAAAUACUGUGGUCAAGAAGACCAAGCUAGCCUGACAAAAGGAAAGUCAAAGGUAAUAGUAAACAUUGUAUAUAAUGUCAGAGUGCCCACUUGGGAAAGAAUCUUUAUAAAUACCCCUACAUUGGCUAAAACAUCUGUCAGAGGCUGCUUUGUCUGUGACGCUGAAGUUAUUCUGCUAUGCAACGUAAUUUAUAUACAUAAGGAAACCAGGUACUUGUAGAACCACCUAUUUUCCAGGUGCGUAUGUUUUUAGAUAUGCGAGAAAAUACUUACUAUAAUACAAAAGUGCUUGAUAAAUAAUAAAAAUAUUUUGGAGGGAUUUGGUGUUUGCACUUCUCUGAGAUGUUGCACUCUGCCACCUCAUAUAUCCUGCAGUUCCCACUGCCCACAGGCAAAAGGGGAUUCAUGUUGGUGUGAAGGUGAAGAAAUCAGUGACACAUCAAUCUGGGAUGUCGGCUAUCUUGAGGUGCACAUCUACGUUUUUGAUGAAAUGCAGAACUUUAUUCUUUAGUAACAGGUGUGUCUGGGUGAAAUUCUAUACCCUUUGAAACAGGGAAGGAAAUGCAACUUUGCGAGCAGCAGAAGUAGCAGAGCCUGGUUUCCUCGAUGCUUCCAUGGAGGCUCCCAGCUGGUUUCCUGCCUCAGCAUGCUGACAACCGAUAAGAGGAGAAUUCCUGCUGCAGCCAUUCUCUCUGCAGAGGCACUGGCAAUCCUUGCUGCUUGGCUGCUUGUUUUCCAGUAAUUUCAUAAAAGCAGAGCAUCUGUGGGAUCUUUACGUCUCCGAGGUUCAGUCGAGACUGGCUGUUGGAUUCAAAGGUCCUGAAGAAUCCAAGAGAAAUGAGACAUAAGCAUCAUUUAAAAAUUCUGAAACCAAAAUGAGAACUUUAGCAUGCUAGAUGACUAAUUCUUCCCUGGGCAGAGACGUGUAAGAAAAAACUGUCACACUGUAGUCCAACUUGGAUUUAUGGGUGUGAUAUUCUGCUGAUCUUUUUUAGAGGUCUUCAUUUCCCUCUGUCUGUAUUGUAAAACAUGGAUAAGAGGUUUAGGUACAUAACUGGGAUGGUUAAAUUCUUCCAAAUCUUGCAUAACUGCAAAAUAUCAAAAGAUCAGAUCAAGAAUUUGUCAUAGAAAUUGCCUGGCUGGAACUCGGACUCAUUUUUAUGUCAGUUGUCUUUUGUAGCGAAGGAUCAGGGAGGAUUCCAGGGAAAGACAGACCUGAAUAAGCAACUCUUUAAGACACAAAUUUAAUUAAAAAAAAAAAAUGUGGUGUAAGAUUAAUGAAACAAGGAAGAGGGUGAAGAUGUAAAAAGAAGGUCAUCACUGAGGAGUGCAAUCCACAGCUCAUUGUCUGUGUGGAAGGAUAGCAGUGACGUAGAAAGCGGAAUCGUAAAAGGGGUGGGUGAAAGAGAAAAGUUUGCUGGGCAAGUAAACCAUAAAAGGUCUUUUUUAAUGGAGCAUGCUUACUUUAAUGUAAAUCUGCAGCAGAUCUACUUGCUUCCUGACGUUCCAGAGUUUCACUGACGAUGAAGUUUCUGAGACACACAAAGUUGCAAACAAAUAUGGCCUGAAAAUGGCAACAGAGAAAUUGGUUGGGGUGUAUUUACUCCCAGGAAAGGUAGCGUAGAGCCAGGAGUGCCAGGAGAAAAGCGCAGUGAAGUGUAUUUCUUGAAAAUACAAGGGAGAACAGUUUCAACGCCUCAUGUAAGUGUGUUUCUCUGAAGUCCAAAGAAGAGCUGCUUUCAGAUUCCAAAGCUAAAGCUUGCCUUCGCUGAAAAGCUUGACAUCAGGAGUCAUGGCUACACAGCAAUAAGCCAUGCCGAGGGCAGUUUGGAGAUUUUUAAGAGGACACCUGUGCCACCCCAGCCUGCUCCAGCACUCAGAAUGGCCCCAAUGCCUGCAGGGAAAUUCAUCUGUGCUCACUGUUCAAAGCAAGCCCUCCUAUGCUAAAUCCUCUUUGAUCCUCCAGGACAAUGAAGAGACCCUGAGCUGUAAUCAAGCUUGCUUUAGGGCUGGUUUUAGACCCCACAAGAUGUCCAGAACUGGACACAAUCCAUAGGGCCUUUAAGCCCCUUUUCAGAGUGCUCCAGAAAUAUGAACUCUGUGCUCAGCAAUGUCUGAUCGGUAUAAGCCACUCUCAUCUUCUGUCACAUGAGGGCAAGUCACACUUCCUCUGCCUCUUCCUUCCCAGAGUUCCUGUGGACACCAGUGGAAUGGGGAAGCAUUGGUGCUUGGAGCUGGGAGCCCUUCUCCCCAGGCAGUCUCCAACUUCUGCCUUCCAAGCUGCCACUGAGGGGUGAUCUUUUAAACUGCUGACUUAGAAUAGAAAAAGGAGAAAAGAAAGAAGAAAAAGGAAAACAAGAAACAAUUUGGAGCUAUGCCCUUUGUCUUCUCUCCUUGAAAAUACAAAUUAGUACUUUUUGUUUGUUUGUUUGUUUUAAAGAUAAAUAAGAAUAAAUGUUACAAUAUGAAGUAAAUGCUGUUAUAUAUGUUUUUUGUUUGUUUGUUUGUUUUUUACAUCAUGUUCCAGUUUGGUCAGUUACAUUAUGAGUUUAAUAAUGGCUCAUCAGUUCGGAAAAGCAGAAGCUGAUCUAGGAAUCUCCCACAAGUUCAGGAUCUGAUGUUUAGGCUCAAGUCUUGGUGUAAUGGCAGAGUCUGGAGCUCUGCCUCAGAUUUGGGGCUCUCUUGGGGAUUAGCU
rnacentral:lncRNA from 1 species